UAUGAAACUCAUUUGGGCGAGAGUAGUACUAGGAUGGGUGACCUCCUGGGAAGUCCUCGUGAAAGGGUUUCAUAU
rnacentral:rRNA from 1 species